AAGGGCUGAUCCUGAGGCCUUUUCUGAAGCAGGUGCAGCUUAUGGAGCAGUCUCUGAAAACACAGUCCAUUUUGGCAAACUUUUAAUUGGUGUUCAAAGUACGGUAUCUCAUAGUGAUGUGAAAACAUCUGUGUUGAGCUCAGUGGAGUCUGAUGGCCACCAGUCAAAUGAGGAAGUGCGGUUUCUGCCUGCUAAAGCUAAGCUGCAUGUCUGGGCUCUUCUGUGAAGUGUAGCAAUGAUCUUGCGCUCAAUGAUCUUGUGC